GACGAACGCUGGCGGCGUGCUUAACACAUGCAAGUCGAACGGAAAGGCCCUGCUUUUGUGGGGUGCUCGAGUGGCGAACGGGUGAGUAACACGUGAGUAACCUGCCCUUGACUUUGGGAUAACUUCAGGAAACUGGGGCUAAUACCGGAUAGGAGCUCCUGCUGCAUGGUGGGGGUUGGAAAGUUUCGGCGGUUUGGGAUGGACUCGCGGCUUAUCAGCUUGUUGGUGGGGUAGUGGCUUACCAAGGCUUUGACGGGUAGCCGGCCUGAGAGGGUGACCGGCCACCUUGGGACUGGGGUACGGCCCAGACUCCUACGGGAGGCAGCAGUGGGGAAUAUUGCACAGUGGGCGGAAGCCUGAUGCAGCAGCGCCGCGUGCGGGAUGACGGCCUUCGGGUUGUAAACCGCUUUCGCCUGUGACGAAGCGUGAGUGACGGUAAUGGGUAAAGAAGCACCGGCUAACUACGUG
rnacentral:rRNA from 1 species